rnacentral:tRNA from 1 species
GCGGACGUGAUUCAAUGGUAGAAUGAGAGCUUCCCAAGCUCUAUAUGGGGGUUCGAUUCCCCUCGUCCGCUCCA